rnacentral:rRNA from 1 species
UUGAACGCUGGCGGCAGGCCUAACACAUGCAAGUCGAGCGGAUGAAGGGAGCUUGCUCCUGGAUUCAGCGGCGGACGGGUGAGUAAUGCCUCGGAAUCUGCCUGUUAGUGGGGGAUAACGUCCGGAAACGGGCGCUAAUACCGCAUACGUCCUGAGGGAGAAAGUGGGGGAUCUUCGGACCUCACGCUAUCAGAUGAGCCUAGGUCGGAUUAGCUAGUUGGUGGGGUAAAGGCCUACCAAGGCGACGAUCCGUAACUGGUCUGAGAGGAUGAUCAGUCACACUGGAACUGAGACACGGUCCAGACUCCUACGGGAGGCAGCAGUGGGGAAUAUUGGACAAUGGGCGAAAGCCUGAUCCAGCCAUGCCGCGUGUGUGAAGAAGGUCUUCGGAUUGUAAAGCACUUUAAGUUGGGAGGAAGGGCAGUAAGUUAAUACCUUGCUGUUUUGACGUUACCAACAGAAUAAGCACCGGCUAACUUCGUG